GAUGUGCACCAGAGCCUGGUCCCAUUCUUCCGCUGGGAUGAUGAGAACCAGUGCAUGGCAGAGGUGCCGGCCAUCGUGAGGUACAUCCACCAGUGCCUCACCUUCCACCUGUCUCCAGAUGUCAGGCAGCACAUUGACAUCCGCAGCCUCGCUGAAACAAACCCUCAUGAGGUUGUGAUGACUCUCCUGUGCUGUGCCCCAGCGUGUGACAGAGCUGCUGCAGUGAUGUGGAGCAGCAUCGCCUCCUCGGG